GACGAACGCUGGCGGCGUGCUUAAUACAUGCAAGUCGAGCGAUAAAGACCUGCGCUUGCAGCAAGUUGAAGUGCAGCGAACGGGUGAGUAACGCGUGUGGAAUCUGCCUUUGAGUGGGAGACAACAUGUGAAAAGGAAUGCUAAUACCGCAUAACAACCUUAUACAUAAGUUUUAAGUUUGAAAGAUGCAAUUGCAUCACUCAAAGAUGACCCCGCGUUGUAUUAGUGAGUUGGUGGGGUAAAGGCUCAUCAAGGCGGUGGUACAGAGCCGACCUGAGAGGGUGGUCGGCCAGAUUGGGGAGGGGACACGGCCCAAACUCGUACGGGAGGCAGCAGUAGGGCAUCUUGGGCGAUGGAGGGGAGUCUGACGGAGAAACGGCGGGUGCGUGAAGCAGGUUUUCGGCUCGUGGAACUCUGUUGGUAGGGAUGAACGUCGGUGAGGGUGGAAAGGUCGUCAAGUGACGGUAACUACCUAGAGAGGGACGGCUAACUACGUG
rnacentral:rRNA from 1 species